CUCGACCUGCCGAGGGCAAGACGGCGCGAGCGCCGGUGAG
rnacentral:misc_RNA from 1 species